rnacentral:lncRNA from 1 species
UUUCCUCCAUUGAUAUAUACAAAUUUUCUGCUCAUUUUGUCUUUUUGGUCUCACGUAACAUAUAAUAGUAAAAGGAAAAGACUUCUCUUAUAGAUUAUAUAGAAAAUACUUAUAUACAAUUAUAUACAAUUAUAUACAAAAUAAAUAUAUAAAUACAGAACCCGUCGUAAAAAUAAAUUAGUAUUCUUCGGAAAUUCUCGGUAAGAAAGAAGGGGAUGUAUUUUUUUUUUCUGUUUUAAGAAAAGGAAAAUCUUAUUUCCAAAAUCAUUGUACAUUUCAAUUUGAAUUAGGAAUUAUGUGUCCAACUCUAAGCAGCCCUUAACUACAUAUGCAUCUGAUCAUAUAUGUAUUAUCUAUUCCAACAAAUAAUACAAAAGAAGGAGGUUUUUCAAUGCGAGAUCUAAAAACAUAUCUCUCUGUGGCACCAGUACUAAGUACGCUAUGGUUCGGGGCUUUAGCAGGUCUAUUGAUAGAGAUUAAUCGUUUUUUCCCGGAUGCGUUGACAUUCCCCUUUUUUUCAUUCUAGUUAUUGUCAUGGGAAGGAAUGAAGAAAAUUAGAGAUCCAAUCAAAUAUUGGUGAUGAAUCCCUCUCCCCCUCUUUUCUCUUUUUUCCCUUUUUAGAAUAAGGGAGGAAAGAGAAAGAAUAAAAAAGUGGAUUCAACAUUCGGGCUCAAGUUCGAAUUAACUGAAUAUUAAUCAUAGAGGAAUGGGGGUAGAAUAGAAAAUGGGGGUCUAGGGCGAGAGUAUUAUACAAGAUACUUAAAUGAUUACUUAAAUUUGCAAUAUACUUUAGAAAAAUCGUUGUAUUUUACUAUGACUUUGCUUUACUAUUACUUUAUUUUCUUAAUUUUAAUCUUUUACUUUUAGAAUUGGAUUUCAAGUUAGUAACUUCUAUUUUAUCCUUUCUUCGUUUUGAAUCGAAAAUAGAAGAGUUGAGUAAAUCAAAAAUCCAAAGGAGGUUCAUGGCCAAGGGGAAAGAUGUCCGAGUAACGGUGAUUUUGGAAUGUACUAGUUGUGUCCGAAACAGUGUUGAUAAGGUAUCAAGAGGUAUUUCCAGAUAUAGUACUCAAAAGAACCGGCACAAUACGCCUAAUCGAUUAGAAUUGAAAAAAUUCUGUCCCUAUUGUUACAAACAUACGAUUCAUGGGGAGAUAAAAAAAUAGAGCGAACCAAGUACCUGUGCCUUACCCUUUCAAGGAAGGGGAAAAAAUGACAUUAUAUAUAACAUAUUUAAAUAGAAACUAAACAAAUCCUAUUUUUCUAAAAUCCUAUUUUAUUUUGGGUGGAUUUAAAAUGAAUUAGAAUUAAGAAAUAGGAUUUUAGGGAUAAGGAAUAAAUUAAACAAACAAACCAUGGAUAAAUCCAAGCGACCUUUUCUUAAAUUCAAGCGAUCUUUUCGUAGGCGUUUGCCCCCGAUUCAAUCGGGGGAUCGAAUUGAUUAUAGAAACAUGAGUUUAAUUAGUCGAUUUAUUAGUGAACAAGGAAAAAUAUUAUCAAGACGCGUGAAUAGAUUGACCUUGAAACAACAACGAUUAAUUACUCUUGCUAUAAAACAAGCCCGUAUUUUAUCUUUGUUACCUUUUCUCAAUAAUGAGAAACAAUUUGAAAGAACCGAGUCGACCGCUAGAACUACUGGUUUUAAAGCCCGAAAUAAAUAGGCUUACCUUUUCUUUACUUGAAUCAUAAUUACUCAAAUCUAGAUUCACUCAAAUCUAGAUUUGAGUAUCGUGUCGUAAGAAACAAAUGAAUCGGAAAAAACGAAAUCUGUUUUUAUUGAAUUGAACGUGUUCAUUCAUUUUGACUACUUUAGCAUAUUUUCUCAUACUAAUUUCUAACUCGUCCGGUAGAAGAAACCUCCAUUUAUUCUCAGGAGAGCCUGGGGAGUUUUUAAAGCCUCCGGUAAAGCCUCCGGUAAAGACUCCGGUAAAGACUCCGGGUUGAUUUUGUUCAAAAUCAUAUAAAGACAAUUCCUAUUUGAUAUAGCUAUUUGUGCAAGUAUUUUACGGUUAAGAAGCAACCGUCUAUUGUACAGAUUGUGUAUUAAUUUACUAUAACUAUGGGAGACUCCCCCUUUGCGAAUUGCUGCGUUUAUCCGAGUGAUCCACAAACGACGAAAAUCUCUCUUUUUCCUACCCCUAUCCCGAUCAGCCGAAACUAAAGCUCUUAUUUUCUGUUGAGUAAUAGUUCUAGUAAGCCUUGAAUGAGCCCCUCGAAAGCUUGAUGCAAAUAAACGAAUUUUUGUUCUACGUCUCCGAGCUAUAUAUCCCCGUUUAAUUCUGGUCAUUGAAUAAAUGAAACUUUGACGAAUAACUAAUUGAUUACCUUUCUUUCAGUUAUUCUUUUCCCCCUUCCUAGUCUAUUAAUAACAAAACGGAUUUUUCCAAUGUAUAAAAUAAAAAUUCCAAUGGCUUUGGCUACUCUAACCUUCCCGACCACGAUUUUGUUAUUUUUUUUUUUUUUAGGUAUUUCACUGCGAAAUAAGAAAGAAAUAAGAAAUUGUAUUUUCCUAGGUAUCAAAAAUAUAGUAAAUAAAAGAAAUAAAAAAAGAAAUAGUGGGUUCCUUCGUUUCUAUGGUUACUUCUUAAACGGUGAGGUCUUCUCUAUACACCGGAGCCUUUACUUUAGACUUUAAUUUAAUAUAUAUUUAAUCAACUAAUUGAUGUUAUUGGGAACUUGUAUAGUUCACACGCUUUGGCUCUACCCAUGAAUUAUCCAGUAAUAGGUCUUUCACAAUCAGAUCUACCUAUACAGUAACGGUAUUUUUUAGGGAUAUAGAAUAAAUUAAACAAACAAACCAUGGAUAAAUCCAAGCGACCUUUUCUUAAAUUCAAGCGAUCUUUUCAUAGGCGUUUGUCCCCGAUUCAAUCGGGGGAUCAAAU